UGGCUCAGUGGUAGAGUGCUUGUCUUGCAUGCAUGAGGCCCUGAGUUCAAUUCCUCAG
rnacentral:tRNA from 1 species